rnacentral:rRNA from 1 species
UACGAAGGGGGCUAGCGUUGCUCGGAAUUACUGGGCGUAAAGCGCACGUAGGCGGCUUUCUAAGUCGGAGGUGAAAUCCUGGAGCUCAACUCCAGAACUGCCUUCGAUACUGAGGAUCUCGAGUCCGGGAGAGGUGAGUGGAACUGCGAGUGUAGAGGUGAAAUUCGUAGAUAUUCGCAAGAACACCAGUGGCGAAGGCGGCUCACUGGCCCGAUACUGACGCUGAGGUGCGAAAGCGUGGGGAGCAAACAGG